CAUAGCUUUUCUGAUUGGUGACUGAAAGUAGCAGAAGCAGUAGCAGCAUCAACGUUGUCCAAAUCCAAAUUCUUAACUUGAUCUUCACAGUGGCCAUUCCUUCAUCUCUUCUGGCCAAACCACCUCCGCAUUGGAUUCCAUUGAAGACGCCUCUGUUCCUUGUGAUCCCUCUUCACAUUUCUCCACAACACAUUCCCUAUCAUCUUCAUCUUCGUCUUCGUCUUCGUCUUUAUCUUCGUAUUCAUCGUCUGUAACAUCAUUUUCGCCUUCAGCCUCAUUGCCUGCAAAUGAAUCUUCUGCAUCAUCAUAUUUUUCUUCUCCUUCGGCUUCAUUGGCUAAAUGUUCUUCCUCUGCACUUGAUUCUGAUAUCUCUAUUGUCUUCCACUCUCCAUGAUCUGUGUCAGAUACUUCAUCCCCUUCAUUUUCUCCAAUUUUCUCAAUCUGUAUCUCGUACUCGCUCAAAUCAUUUGACUUGUUGUCCUGUCCCAGCUCGGAACUGUCUUCCAGGGCCUCCUCUUCCUGACCAAAUUACUACACAGAGAUCAGUGACCUUAUGUUUAACACAACCAAGUCAGAUUUACAAAUUAGAGUUAUCAUGGAAAAGCUAUAACUUCAAAGGAAAUUACCGAAUCCCAGAUCAUCUCUGAUGUUCCAUCCACACUGUAACUGCAAAUCAAUCAGUCAUAUUGAGUUAAUCAAGAGACUCAAAUAUACAAAACUUCCUAUCCCUCCCAUCUCUCUAGCCUUACCGUGGACAGUGUCUGUCUGCCUGAAGAAUUGAACGAAGCCCCCCAUUGCUGUAAUCCCUGCUGCUG